rnacentral:rRNA from 1 species
UACGUAGGUGGCAAGCGUUGUCCGGAUUUAUUGGGCGUAAAGAGCUCGUAGGCGGCUUGUCGCGUCGAAUGUGAAAACUCGGGGCUCAACUCCGAGCUUGCAUUCGAUACGGGCAGGCUAGAGUUCGGUAGGGGAGACUGGAAUUCCUGGUGUAGCGGUGAAAUGCGCAGAUAUCAGGAGGAACACCGGUGGCGAAGGCGGGUCUCUGGGCCGAUACUGACGCUGAGGAGCGAAAGCGUGGGGAGCGAACAGG